rnacentral:tRNA from 1 species
GCAGGCGUCGCAUAGUGAUCGAUUGCACCGAUUUUGUAAGUCGGAAUACCACACCGUGGGUUUGAAUCCCACCGCCUGCU